rnacentral:rRNA from 1 species
CGCAUCUGUGCAUGCAGCAUAUCAAUAAGCGGAGGAAAAGAGACUAACAAGGAUUCCCCUAGUAACGGCGAGUGAAGCGGGAAGAGCUCAAAUUUGAAAUCUUAAAGGGUUUCCCUUUACGAAUUGUAGUUUAAAGAAGUGUUUUCUGUUGAGGUUUUGGUAAAAGUUCUUUGGAAUAGGACAUCAUAGAGGGUGAGAAUCCCGUAUUUGACCUUUACUUUCAACUUUGUGAUACACUUUCAAAGAGUCGGAUUGUUUGGGAAUGCAGUCCAAAAUGGGUGGUAAAUUUCAUCUAAAGCUAAAUAUUGGCGAGAGACCGAUAGCGAACAAGUACCGUGAGGGAAAGAUGAAAAGAACUUUGAAAAGAGAGUUAAACAGUACGUGAAAUUGUCAAAAGGGAAGCGUUUGACACCAGUGUUGUUUUUCUGAAAAUCAAUUAAAGAACUGUUUAUGCUAAGUUGUUUAGACUUUAUCAGCUAACUGUUUAGUUUUGAGCUUUUCUUUAAUGCACUUUUCAGUUAACAAGUCAACAUCAAUUUCUUUUGCUGUAAAAAAGCUUGAGGAAGGUGGCUUGAGAUUCGUCUUAAGUGUUUAUAGCCUCUUGCCUAUGCAGUCGGAGAGAUUGAGGUCUGCAGCGUAGAUCCUUCGGGGCUAAAUGCAUUUGUGCUAAGUUAUAGCAUUUUAUAGACAACUUGUUGACUAUGAUUUGUCUUGUAGCUUACUCGCUUAUGUUAUUUUACCUACGCUUAGGAUGUUGAAGAUGUAGCACAUCAUACACGCAUGACGCACUGCAUAUCAAUAAGCGGAGGAAAAGGAGUGUACCUACGCUUAGGAUGUUGAGCGCAUGUCUCUCUCU